rnacentral:rRNA from 1 species
GUGGGGAAUAUUGGACAAUGGGGGGAACCCUGAUCCAGCCAUGCCGCGUGUGUGAAGAAGGCCUUUUGGUUGUAAAGCACUUUAAGCGAGGAGGAGGCUACCGAGAUUAAUACUCUUGGAUAGUGGACGUUACUCGCAGAAUAAGCACCGGCUAACUCUGUGCCAGCAGCCGCGGUAAUACAGAGGGUGCAAGCGUUAAUCGGAUUUACUGGUCGUAAAGCGCGCGUAGGUGGCCAAUUAAGUCAAAUGUGGAAUCCCCGGGCUUAACUUGGGAAUUGCAUUCGAUACUGGUUGGCUAGAGUAUGGGAGAGGAUGGUAGAAUUCCAGGUGUAGCGGUGAAAUGCGUAGAGAUCUGGAGGAAUACCGAUGGCGAAGGCAGCCAUCUGGCCUAAUACUGACACUGAGGUGCGAAAGCAUGGGGAGCAAACAGGAUUAGAUAUCCGGGUAGUCC